CUUGGGUAAGUAAAAAGUCGUAACAAGGUCUCCGUUGGUGAACCAGCGGAGGGAUCAUU
rnacentral:rRNA from 1 species